AACGAACGCUGGCGGCAUGCCUAACACAUGCAAGUCGAACGAGACCUUCGGGUCUAGUGGCGCACGGGUGCGUAACGCGUGGGAACCCGCCCUUAGGUUCGGAAUAACUCCCCGAAAGGGGUGCUAAUACCGGAUAAUGUCUUCGGACCAAAGAUUUAUCGCCUUUGGAUGGGCCCGCGUUGGAUUAGCUAGUUGGUAGGGUAAAAGCCUACCAAGGCGACGAUCCAUAGCUGGUCUGAGAGGAUGAUCAGCCACACUGGGACUGAGACACGGCCCAGAAUCCUACGGGAGGCAGCAGUGGGGAAUAUUGGACAAUGGGCGAAAGCCUGAUCCAGCAAUGCCGCGUGAGUGAUGAAGGCCUUAGGGUUGUAAAGCUCUUUUACCCGGGAUGAUAAUGACAGUACCGGGAGAAUAAGCUCCGGCUAACUCCGUG
rnacentral:rRNA from 1 species